rnacentral:rRNA from 1 species
UACGGGGGGGGCAAGCGUUGUUCGGAAUUACUGGGCGUAAAGGGCUCGUAGGUGGCCAACUAAGUCAUGCGUGAAAUCCCUCGGCUUAACCGGGGAACUGCGUCUGAUACUGGAUGGCUUGAGUUUGGGAGAGGGAUGCGGAAUUCCAGGUGUAGCGGUGAAAUGCGCAGAUAUCAGGAAGAACACCCGUGGCUAAGGCGGCUCUCUAGUACGGUACUGACGCUGAGACGCGAAAGCGUGGGGAGCGAACAGG